rnacentral:rRNA from 1 species
AAUGAACGCUGGCGGCGUGCCUAACACAUGCAAGUCGAGCGAGAAAGCUCCUUCGGGAGUGAGUACAGCGGCGGACGAGUGAGUAACGCGUGGGAAUUUGCCCUUCAGUGAGGAAUACCAUCGAGAAAUCGGUGUUAAUACUGCAUACGUUCCUUCGGGAAGAAAGGUGGCCUCUAGCUGCCGCUGAUGGAUAAGCCUGCGUACUAUUAGCUAGUUGGUGAGGUAAAGGCUCACCAAGGCGAUGAUGGUUAACCGGCCUGAGAGGGUGUACGGUCACGUUGGAACUGAGACACGGUCCAAACUCCUACGGGUGGCAG